GAUGAACGCUGGCGGCGUGCCUAAUACAUGCAAGUCGAGCGAACAGACGAGGAGCUUGCUCCUCUGACGUUAGCGGCGGACGGGUGAGUAACACGUGGAUAACCUACCUAUAAGACUGGGAUAAUUUCGGGAAACCGGAGCUAAUACCGGAUAAUAUAUUGAACCGCAUGGUUGAAUAGUGAAAGACGGUUUUGCUGUCACUUAUAGAUGGAUCCGCGCCGCAUUAGCUAGUUGGUAAGGUAACGGCUUACCAAGGCAACGAUGCGUAGCCGACCGGAGAGGGGGAUCGGCCACACUGGAACUGAGACACGGUCCAGACUCCUACGGGAGGCAGCAGUAGGGAAUCUUCCGCAAUGGGCGAAAGCUUGACGGAGCAACGCCGCGUGAGUGAUGAAGGUCUUCGGAGCGUAAAACUCUGUUAUUAGGGAAGAACAAAUGUGUAAGUAACUAUGCACGUCUUGACGGUACCUAAUCAGAAAGCCACGGCUAACUACGUG
rnacentral:rRNA from 1 species